GUGGGGAAUUUUGGACAAUGGGCGCAAGCCUGAUCCAGCAAUGCCGCGUGCAGGAAGAAGGCCUUCGGGUUGUAAACUGCUUUUGUACGGAACGAAAAGGUCUGGGUUAAUACCCUGGGCUCAUGACGGUACCGUAAGAAUAAGCACCGGCUAACUACGUGCCAGCAGCCGCGGUAAUACGUAGGGUGCGAGCGUUAAUCGGAAUUACUGGGCGUAAAGCGUGCGCAGGCGGUUUUGUAAGACAGAGGUGAAAUCCCCGGGCUCAACCUGGGAGCUGCCUUUGUGACUGCAAGGCUGGAGUGCGGCAGAGGGGGAUGGAAUUCCGCGUGUAGCAGUGAAAUGCGUAGAUAUGCGGAGGAACACCGAUGGCGAAGGCAAUCCCCUGGGCCUGCACUGACGCUCAUGCACGAAAGCGUGGGGAGCAAACAGGAUUAGAAACCCUGGUAGUCC
rnacentral:rRNA from 1 species